UUGCGGUUAAAAAGCUCGUAGUUGGAUCUCGGCAGGUAGAGGGCGGUAUGCUUCGUAGCAUUACUGCCCUAUUACUUGUAGUUUUGCCAGAGGUUCCUGGGUGCUCUUAAUCGAGUGUCUAGGGAUGCUGGCAGGUUUACUUUGAAAAAAUUAGAGUGCUCAAAGCAGGCUAUUACGCUUGAAUAUUCGUGCAUGGAAUAAUAGAAUAGGAAGUUGUUUCUAGUUUGUUGGUUUUCGGAAAUCGACUUAAUGAUUAAUAGGGACAGUCGGGGGCAUUUGUAUUCAAACGACAGAGGUGAAAUUCUUGGACCGUUUGAAGACAAACUACUGCGAAAGCAUUUGCCAAGAAUGUUUUCAUUAAUCAAGAACGAAAGUUAGAGGUUCGAAGGCGAUUAGAUACCGCCCUAGUUCUAACCAUAAACGAUGCCAGCUAGCGAUCUGAGGACGUUUUUUUUGUAGACUCCUCAGGAAGCUUCCGGGAAACCAAAGCGUGUGGGUUCCCGGGGGAAGUAUGGUUGCAAAGCUGAAACUUAAAGGAAUUGACGGAAGGGCACCACCAGGAGUGGAGCCCGCGGCUUAAUUUGACUCCACACGGGAAAUCUCACCAGGCCCGGACCCUGGAA
rnacentral:rRNA from 1 species